AGCCCCGUAGUCUAGCGGUCAAGGAUAACAGGCUCUGGACCUGUUGACCACGGUUCGAAACGGGUUGAGCAGAAAACACAAGGCUCUCCCGCGCAUCUCCGUGCGGGGCUA
rnacentral:tRNA from 1 species